GAUUAAUACUCCAUAAUAUAUUUGAUGGCAUCAUUAAUAUUGAAAAGCUCCGGCGGAUAGAGAUGGGCACGCGCAAGAUUAGCUAGUUGGUGAGGUAACGGCUCACCAAGGCAAUGAUCUUAGGGGCCUGAGAGGGUGAUCCCCCACACUGGUACUGAGACACGGACCAGACUCCUACGGGAGGCAGCAGUGAGGAAUAUUGGUCAAUGGGUGCAAGCCUGAACCAGCCAUCCCGCGUGAAGGACGACUGCCCUAUGGGUUGUAAACUUCUUUUGUAUAGGGAUAAACCUACUCUCGUGAGAGUAGCUGAAGGUACUAUACGAAUAAGCACCGGCUAACUCCGUG
rnacentral:rRNA from 1 species